GCGGGCGUGGCGGAACUGGUAGACGCGCUGGUUUUAGGUACCAGUGGGACAAUCCCGUGAGGGUUCGAGUCCCUCCGCCCGCA
rnacentral:tRNA from 1 species